AAAUUAAAUUUGACAUGUUUUAAUUAUAAGAAUUAUAAAAUAACAAAAUAUUUUUUUCUAAACUAUUUUUGUCAAAAGCAUCUAAAAUGGUAUUUUCUUUGGAAAGCGCAUUUUUGAGCUACCACAUCAAUGCUAAAAGGGACCUAUGUUUGGUUUGGAGGAUGGGAAGGAAGGAAAGAAAAGAAAGAGGGAAAAAACAUUGCGAAGAAAGAUAUAUUUCCAUUUUUUUGGUUGGAGCAAGGUUAGAAAGGAAGGAUAAGUCUUCUUCUAUUUCUUCAAGGGGCUCACAAAAAUCAAUCCGUCCAAAUUGGAAAGAUUGGAGGGGAGAAGCUACGAUUACUCAAAUUACCUUUUUAUCCCCAAGAUUUACAAAUAUGUAGAUUUUCUUGAAUGGCUAAUUUGCAGAUGCAAAAAAAGGGGAGAUUCCAUCCUUUCCUCAUUUGACACCAAUCAACACAGGAAAUACCAUCAUCUUUCCUUCAUUACUUCAUUCUAUUAUAUACUCAAUUCAAUUCAACUAAACCUUUAUUCCAA
rnacentral:misc_RNA from 1 species